rnacentral:lncRNA from 1 species
AGUGACACGAGCACGAACCAAGAGAUUCAAGGAGUUGCUUCACGUCUUGGUCCAUGCCGUCCAAGCCCAAGAGAAAUCACCCAUUGAAGGAAUUGAGUUGGAAGAUCCUUGCAAGACCACUAAAGUAUUGCUGACAAUUGAAGUUGCAAGUAUUCAAACUCCAAACGGCAGAUUGGGGCGCUGAGCUGUACGGUCUAUGUAUUGUUGGGCCAAACUUCGGCCAAGUAAAAGAAACGGGCUGGCCGAAUUUUCUUGAUGUUUUUUCAGCUUUAUUAGGGUUUAGUCAAGGCUAUAAAUAGCCUUAAGUGAUGUUUUACAUUCAGUUUUGCGAUAUUAUUAAUAAAAAUUC